CAGGCCUAACCAUGCAGGUCGAACGAGGGCCCGAAGCUUGCUUCGGUGACCCGAGUGGCAACGGGCGAGUAACACGUGACCAACCUGUCCUGGGGCGAGGGACAACCCGGGAAACCUGGGCUAAUACCGCAUGAUGUCACACUUCCGCAUGGUCGUGGACCAAAGGGGGCCUCUGCUUGCAUGCUCCCGCCCGAGGGGGGGGUCGCACGUAUCAGCUCGUUGGUGGGGUAACGGCCUACCAAGGCUACGACGCGUGCGGAUCUGAGAGGAUGAUCCGUCACAUUGGGACUGAGAUACGGCCCAGCUCCUACGGGAGGCAGCAGUGGGGAAUAUUGCGCAAUGGGCGAAAGCCUACGCAGCGACGCCGGGUGUGGGAGGAAGCCUUUCGGGGUGUAAACCA
rnacentral:rRNA from 1 species